GGGGGUGAACGGUUUCGACAACGUCAGUUCCGAAGAGUGAAGCGGGCCGAGGAUCAACGGUUAUCUCGUAAACGCUCCGUUGAAAACAACAACUGCCAAUAACAAGCAGUCCGAUCUCGCUCUCGCCGCCUAGGCGAAGCAACUGAGAUCCGUCGGCCUAUCGGUGUCUUCCCGAUAGGACCCGGCGUCGACUUGAAGACUCACCGACCGCCCCGGUCAUCGGGGGUGGAAGGGACAUCAAACAGUGACUGGGCCGUGUUCCCCACAGCGUCGUGAGACAGCGGGGAGGCCGAGAACGCGAUUACUGCGACUACGCCCGUAGAAGCCUCCAAGGGGUUCCGUUGGACCCGGGUUCGAUUCCCGGCACCUCCACCA
rnacentral:tmRNA from 1 species